ensembl:lncRNA
AGGGAAGCCAAAACAGGAGAAAUCUGCUCUCUCUUUCUAGUCCCUGUCAGGACUCUUGCUGCAGCAUUUUGGAUCAGCUGAAGGCUUUUCAGGGAGUUUUAGGACAUCCUGAUAAUAAAGAAUUACAGUAGUCCAGCCUGGAAGUAAUGAAUGCAUGAACUAGUUUUUCAGCAUCACUCUGAGACAGGAUAUUUCUAAUUUUAGAGAUGUUGCGCAAAUGGAAGAAAGCAGUGUUACAUCUUUGUUUAAUAUGUGCAUUGAAGGACAUGUCCUGGUCAAAAAUGACUCCAAGGUUCCUCACAGCAUUACUGGAGGCCAAGGUAAUGCCAUCCAGAGUAACUAUCAGGCAAAGGUAUAGUCUCCUGCAUUUACAAUAAACUAGGUAGUGUAACUUCAGCUCCCUGUGAGGGCCUCAAAUCCACAUGGGAAAAAAAGUUGGAUCUCUCUAUGUCCGAUGAUGUUUGGGAUUCGGUCCUCACUUUGGUAAAUUCCAUGUCACUCUGUGCUCGCCACUCUCUAUUACAUUUCAGUAAGUAGUUCAUAGGGCCCACUUAUCUAAAUCUAAAUUAGCCAGGAUUUAUCCUGGCUAAUUGCUACUGGCCUGAAACUGGCUCCCAACCCCCUACUUGUUCUCUUUGGUACAGUGGGUGAGGAUGAUAAGUGUAUUGCUGGGGCAAAAUUUUGGAAGCUGUCUUUUGGUUGUCUCCUGCCUAUUUGUGCAAUUUUAGUGAGGUGGAAAGCUACUGUUCCAUCCACCCAUGUCCACUUCUGAUCUUAUGUCAUGUCUCAGUCUUGAAAUUAUCCACUGCUCCGUCCAGAAUCAAAAUGUCAAAUUUGAUAAAAUUUGGGGUCCUUUUCUGACAAAUUUCUCAAAACUUCAAUUUGAAUUAAAUCGAGGAUGUUCUUGCUGAGUAACAACUUGGUUUAUUCCAUAUAGGUCUGACGACGUGCCACUUUGUAAGCUUUACCAUGUUAAUGUGAAUGUGAAACUCAGUUGUGUUACACCCUAUUUCUGUGGGGUUUGCAAGAAAAUGUUUUGUUGUGGUGUUCUGUUUAGUUACUUUAUCUAUGUAUAAAUGCGGAAAUGUUUACGGCACUGACCCAUAAUGCACUGCACACGUCAUGAUGGUGUUGAUAAACAAAAAACGAAAUGUGUCCACGUUUCACAGCAUAGACAUUUACAGCACACAUAAGCGUUACUUGUAAAAAACUGGAUUCCAUCAACGAUCAGUCCUGGAACAGCCCUGGCUCCAUUUUUAUGCCCUUUAUACACCACAGAUCUCUCCUACUCCUCUGCUGACUGCUUCCUGCAACAGUUCUCUGAUGACUCAGCAAUUGUUGGGCUCAUCGACAAUGGGGAAAAUGGGGAGUACAGAGAACUGAUUGAGGACUUUGUCAGCUGGUGCCAGUGGAACUGCCUCUAGAUCAACACUGGGAAAACCAAGGAGCUGGGUGAAUAUCUGGUCCAGUGGUCCACAGCCAGGACAUUGCUCAGUCCACGUGAAUCCAGAGUGCAUUAAGGAGUGACUGUGUCUGUUUUUUGUUCCUGCGUUGGUACUGAGGAGUGUUUGGACCGCGACAUUCAGGAGCUGGUGUUCUCUCUUGAACUCACUGAAUGGUCUUGGAGGAAAGGAGAAAAAACAUUGCAGACAUUUCCCCGACAGGGAUGUCACAGAUCGACCACCAUCACACUGCCCACUGCAUCGGCGUGUCUGGACCAGCUCACUGAACUGGCUGACUGUCGCUUGCUGUUUGAUCAAGGUGAUGACCUUUGGUUCACUUUCAGAGCAGACGGUUUUCAGCCAGCAGUCUCGACUCUCUUAGAGAUAUUUUCACUCACUGUUUGAAGGCAUUAGGACUCUUUCUUGGAGAAGACCGGCGGGGAGUCUUUUAGUUGACUAAAGAAAUAUCACACAUUGGAAGUCAUCUGUGGAGAAAAUUUCCCCUUCGUUAUCCUGUUUUUUUUCACCAGGAAAGCACAAACAUCACUCCACUUCCUUCACUUUUCCCUGAAUUAAAACCAAACACUCCAUAGUCUGUGACAUGUAAAAUCUGGGCUAGAAAUACAGAUGGCAUCUCUGAAAGCCUGCCAGUUUACAGCACUGACCCAUAAUGCACUGCACACAUCAUGAUGGCACUCUGCGGGUGGACUUUCACAGGCAUAAACAUCCUCCACCUACACCUGAACAUGGUGGUUUCUUACCAGCUAUAUGACCAUAAAAGCCUGAUUCACACAGUCUCCUCUGAACAAGUAGAGAUGUGUCUGCUGCUGGAACUCUGUGUGGCAUUUAUCUGGGCUCUAAUCUGAGCUGCUGUUAACUUGUGAUUUCUGAGGCUGGUGACUCGGAUGAUUGUAUCCUCAGCAGCAGAGGGGACUCUUGGUCUUCCUUUCCUGGGGCGUCCUCAUGUGAGACAGUUUUGUCGUAGUGCUUGAUGGUUUUUGCAACUGCACUUGGGGACACAUUCAGGGUUUUAGCAGUUUUCCAGACUGACUGACCUUCAGUUCUUAAAGUAAUGAUGAACUGUUGUUUCUCUUUACUUUAGCUGAUUCGUUCUUGCCAUAAUAUGAAUUCUAACAGUUGUCAAAUAGGGCUGUCAGCUGUGCACCAACCUGACUGCUGCACAACACACCUGAUGGACCCAUUAAGAAAGUAAGAAACUCCACCAAUGAACCCUGACAGACACACCUGUGAGGUGAAACCAUCUCAGGUGACGACAUCAUGAAGCUCACUGAGAGAAGGCCGAGGGUUUGCAGCGCUGUCAACAAAGCAAAGGGUGGAAUCUAAAAUAUAAGACAUGUUUAGAGUUAUCAAUGUUUUCUUUGCUACAUAAUUCCAUAUAUCUUGCUUCAUAUAUUUGAUGUCUUCAAUUUGUAUCUACAAUGUAGAAAGUAGCAAAAAUAAAGAAAAGACAUCAAAUGAGAAGGUGUGUCCAAAGCUUUGACUUGUAGUGUAUACAUAUACAUACUCACAUAUAUUUAUAUCUAAACUAUCUAAAUAAUAUUUCUUCUACCUUGUGUAUGUUUUGUGUAUGUGUAUGUUAAUCACAAUAUCAGUCGCUUCAAGGCACUUUAUAUUGUAAGGUAGACCCUACAAUAAUACAUACAGAGAAAAACCCAACAACAGUGGGAAGGAAAAACUCCCUUUAAACAGGAGCCAAACUGGAAGCUGGUUCCACAGAAGAGGGGCCUGAAAACUGAAGGCUCUGCCUCCCAUUCUACUUUUAAAUACUCUAGGAACAACAAGUAGGCCUGCAGUGUGAGAGCGAAGUGCUCUAAUAGGGUGAUAUGGUACUACAAGGUGAUUAAGAUAAGAUGGGGCCUGAUUAAGGGAAGCAUAUAUAAUGUAAACAGAAUUGGUCCUAGCACUGAACCCUGUGGAACUCCAUAAUUAACAUCAGUGUGUGAAGAGGACUCUCCAUUUACUUGUACAAACUGGAGUCUAUUAGAUAGAUAUGAUACAAACCACUGCAGUACAGUACCUGUAAUACCUACAGCAUGUUCUAAUCGCUCUAAUAGGAUAUUAUGGUCGACAGUAUCGAACGCAGCACUGAGGUCUAGCAGGACAAGCGCAGAGAUGAGUCCACUGUCAGAGGCCAUAAGAAGAUCAUUUGUAACCUUCACUAAAGCUGUUUCUGUGCUGUGAUGAGCUCUGAAACCUGACUGAAACUCUUCAAAUAAGCCAUUCCUCUGCAGAUGAUCUGUUAGCUGUUUGACAACUACUCUUUCAAGGAUGUUUGAUAUGAAAGGAAGGUUGGAGAUUGGCCUAUAAUUAGCUAAGACAGCUGGGUCUUGAGAUGCUUUUUAAGUAAAGGUUUAACCUCUGCCAGCUUUCCAGGUAUGGGAACCGUACCUGAACUAUGUGGAACCGAUGUCUCUAAUAUUAUGCUACAAGGAUUUUCUUGAUUCAAACUACAUAUUAUUACUGGG